rnacentral:rRNA from 1 species
UCCAGACUCCUACGGGAGGCAGCAGUGGGGAAUAUUCCGCAAUGGGCGCAAGCCUGACGGAGCAACGCCGCGUGAAUGAAGAAGGUUUUCGGAUUGUAAAGUUCUGUCAUUAGGGACGAAGGACCUGUGCGAAUAGUGCAGGGAAUGACGGUACCUAAGGAGGAAGCUCCGGCUAACUACGUGCCAGCAGCCGCGGUAAUACGUAGGGAGCAAGCGUUGUCCGGAAUUACUGGGCGUAAAGGGCGCGUAGGCGGAUUGUUAAGUCAGAUGUGAAAUCUCCGGGCUCAACCCGGAGCGUGCAUUUGAAACUGGCUAUCUUGAGGGCAGGAGAGGAAAGUGGAAUUCCUAGUGUAGCGGUGAAAUGCGUAGAUAUUAGGAGGAACACCAGUGGCGAAGGCGACUUUCUGGACUGAACCUGACGCUGAGGCGCGAAAGCAUGGGUAGCGAACGGGAUUAGAUACCCUCGUAGG